rnacentral:rRNA from 1 species
GCAAGUCGAGCGCGGGAAGCGAGUGGAUCCCUUCGGGGUGAAGCUCGUGGAACGAGCGGCGGACGGGUGAGUAACACGUGGGCAACCUGCCUGUAAGAUCGGAAUAACCCCGGGAAACCGGGGCUAAUGCCGGGUAAUACUUUCUUUCGCAUGAAGGAAAGUUGAAAGAUGGCUUCUCGCUAUCACUUACAGAUGGGCCCGCGGCGCAUUAGCUAGUUGGUGAGGUAACGGCUCACCAAGGCGACGAUGCGUAGCCGACCUGAGAGGGUGAUCGGCCACACUGGGACUGAGACACGGCCCAGACUCCUACGGGAGGCAGCAGUAGGGAAUCUUCCGCAAUGGACGAAAGUCUGACGGAGCAACGCCGCGUGAACGAUGAAGGUCUUCGGAUCGUAAAGUUCUGUUGUUAGGGAAGAACAAGUACCGUGCGAAUAGAGCGGUACCUUGACGGUACCUAACGAGGAAGCCCCGGCUAACUACGUGCCAGCAGCCGCGGUAAUACGUAGGGGGCAAGCGUUGUCCGGAAUUAUUGGGCGUAAAGCGCGCGCAGGCGGUUCCUUAAGUCUGAUGUGAAAGCCCACGGCUCAACCGUGGAGGGUCAUUGGAAACUGGGGAACUUGAGGACAGAAGAGGAGAGUGGAAUUCCACGUGUAGCGGUGAAAUGCGUAGAUAUGUGGAGGAACACCAGUGGCGAAGGCGACUCUCUGGUCUGUUUCUGACGCUGAGGUGCGAAAGCGUGGGUAGCAAACAGGAUUAGAUACCCUGGUAGUCCACGCCCGUAAACGAUGAGUGCUAGGUGUUAGGG